UACGUAGGCAGCAAGCGUUGUUCGGAGUUACUGGGCGUAAAGGGUGUGUAGGCGGCUGGAUAAGUGUGGGGUGAAAUCUCCCGGCUUAACUGGGAGGGUGCGCUACAAACUGUCUGACUAGAGUGUGGGAUGGGUAAGUGGAAUUCCUGGUGUAGCGGUGAAAUGCGUAGAUAUCAGGAGGAACACCGGUGGUGUAGACGGCUUACUGGACCAUAACUGACGCUGAGACACGAAAGCGUGGGUAGCAAACAGG
rnacentral:rRNA from 1 species